rnacentral:lncRNA from 1 species
AAGCCCAUCAUUUAGGCGCUCAACGCUCAAUUUGGCCGCUCAGCGGUGGGCCUCAUAAUCGCAGGCCGCUCAAUGCUCAGUUCUACCGCUCAGCGGUGAACCUCCAAGUCGCAGGACGAUCAGCGUCGCCGCUCAAGCGAGAAACAAUGACUUCAUCCUCGAAGCUGGCGCUUAGCGCUGGAAUUGGCGCUGAGCGGUGAACUUGACUUUUCUUUUCUUCCUUUUUUCCUCCUUUCUUGAGUCUAAGUCCUUCCUUCUUCACUUCCAUCCUUCAAAUCUCAUCAAAUCCUGCAAAACAAUGCAAAAACAAGCAUAAUAUCUCUAAAAACAACUCCUGACUCUCUUGUGACUCAACUAAGUGUUUUACAUGAUUCUAAGCUCAUUCUAAGUUAUAAAUGGUGUGAUUUGAUAUCAAAUUUAAGUGUAAAAAUAACGAUUUUUAGACCGUUAUCACAACUUCAAACUUAGAACUUUGCUUGUCCUCAAGCAAACAAGACAAAACUUAGCUUUCCACCUUUCAUCAAAAUAGCUCAACAAUCCCAAAAUUCAUUUUUCUCACAACAAGUAAUUACUCAAUUAUGCUUUUCAGUGGAAUCUUAUCAAGAUGCAUACAUGCUUCAAUUCAAUUCAGUUCACAUAAUCACAUAUUUUCCAACAGAUGCUUUAUCUAUGAAUGAUCAGUCAACUAAGCACAAAUGUAAUCAUGAAAUUUAACAAUCCUCUCCAAGCAAGUGUUUCACUCAAUCACUCAAGUGUUAAAGAGGUCACUCCAUCUCUUUACUAUUCACAUGUCACAUGAAACAAAAUUUCCCUUCAUAUAAUACAAUCAACAUUCUCACAUACAAAUGUCAUCACAAGGACUUUUUCAAAGCUUAUAAUGAGGUUGGGCUAACAAAAAAAAUUGGUUUCCCUUGAGUUAAGAGAGUUAUUUUAACAUUCAAAGUUCAAGCACAAACUCUCUUUUAACCAAUCUCACUCAUUCCCAACUUCUUUCCCUUUUCUUUUAUUUUUACAUUGAGCUCAACUUUCAUGCUUUUUCUUUUCUUCUCUUUUCUUUUCUCAUGCUUUUCUUUCAUUCAACACUUGAACUCAAUGCCUUUCUUUUGACUUUCAAUUUCCCCCAACAACCCCAAACUUGAACCUUAUCAAUACCAUACAAUUAUUCUCAACCCAACUCAAGGUAAAGAUUUUCAAAGCAAGGGUUUUCAUCCUGUUUAAGGCUAAGGUUCAAAAAGGGUAGAACAAAUAGUUCUCUUUACUUUGGG